GUACUCGCUUCAGCAGCACGUAUACUAAAACUGGAAUGAUACAGAGAAGAUUAGCAAAACCCUUGCACAAGGAUGACACCCAAAUUCGUGAAGCAUUCCAUAUUUUU